rnacentral:rRNA from 1 species
GAUGAACGCUGGCUACAGGCUUAACACAUGCAAGUCGAGGGGAAACGACGGGGAAGCUUGCUUCCCCGGGCGUCGACCGGCGCACGGGUGAGUAACGCGUAUCCAACCUGCCUCUGACUGAGGGAUAACCCGUCGAAAGUCGGCCUAAUACCUCAUGGCAUCGUCUGCGGGCAUCCAACGACGAUUAAAGAUUUCAUCGGUCAGAGAUGGGGAUGCGUCUGAUUAGCUUGUUGGCGGGGUAACGGCCCACCAAGGCGACGAUCAGUAGGGGUUCUGAGAGGAAGGUCCCCCACAUUGGAACUGAGACACGGUCCAAACUCCUACGGGAGGCAGCAGUGAGGAAUAUUGGUCAAUGGGCGAGAGCCUGAACCAGCCAAGUAGCGUGCAGGAUGACGGCCCUAUGGGUUGUAAACUGAUUUUAUGCGGGGAUAAAGUGAGGGACGUGUCCUUCAUUGCAGGUACCGCAUGAAUAAGGACCGGCUAAUUCCGUG